AUGAACGCUGGCGGCGUGCCUAAUACAUUCCAGUCGCGCGAACAGACGAGGAGCUUGCUCCUCUGACGUUAGCGGCGGACGGGUGAGUAACACGUGGAUAACCUACCUAUAAGACUGGGAUAACUUCGGGAAACCGGAGCUAAUACCGGAUAAUAUAUUGAACCGCAUGGUUCAAUAGUGAAAGACGGUUUUGCUGUCACUUAUAGAUGGAUCCGCGCCGCAUUAGCUAGUUGGUAAGGUAACGGCUUACCAAGGCAACGAUGCGUAGCCGACCUGAGAGGGUGAUCGGCCACACUGGAACUGAGACACGGUCCAGACUCCUACGGGAGGCAGCAGUAGGGAAUCUUCCGCAAUGGGCGAAAGCCUGACGGAGCAACGCCGCGUGAGUGAUGAAGGUCUUCGGAUCGUAAAACUCUGUCAUUAGGGAAGAACAAAUGUGUAAGUAACUAUGCACGUCUUGAUGGUACCUAAUCAGAAAGCCACGGCUAACUACGUG
rnacentral:rRNA from 1 species